rnacentral:rRNA from 1 species
CUGUACAGGGGGAGUAACAGUCAGAAAUGACUGCUAAUACCGCAUAAGACCACAGCACCGCAUGGUGCAGGGGUAAAAACUACCGGUGGUACAGGAUGGACCCGCGUCUGAUUAGCUGGUUGGUGAGGUAACGGCUCACCAAGGCGACGAUCAGUAGCCGGCUUGAGAGAGUGAACGGCCACAUUGGGACUGAGACACGGCCCAAACUCCUACGGGAGGCAGCAUG